UACGAAGGGAGCUAGCGUUGUUCGGAAUCACUGGGCGUAAAGCGCUCGUAGGCGGAUGUGUCAGUCAGGGGUGAAAUCCCGGAGCUCAACUUCGGAACUGCCUUUGAUACUGCAAAUCUCGAGUCCGGAAGAGGUGAGUGGAAUUCCUAGUGUAGAGGUGAAAUUCGUAGAUAUUAGGAAGAACACCAGUGGCGAAGGCGGCUCACUGGUCCGGUACUGACGCUGAGGUGCGAAAGCGUGGGGAGCAAACAGG
rnacentral:rRNA from 1 species